rnacentral:ncRNA from 1 species
CUUAUCAAGAGCGACGGAGGGAACAGGCCCGAUGAUGUCCAGCAACCUGCCGAGUGGCAAGGUGCUAAAUCCUGCGGUGGAAACCGGAAGAUGAGG